GCCUGGCUGGCUCAGUGGGUAGCGCAUGUGACUCUCGAUCUCGAGGUCGUGAGUUCAAGCCCCAUGUUGGACG
rfam:Felis catus isolate Cinnamon breed Abyssinian chromosome E1, whole genome shotgun sequence.